AUCCAUCUGACGAGUCUCAAAUAGGACGAAACUCACUUGUCCUGUAU
rnacentral:hammerhead_ribozyme from 1 species